rnacentral:piRNA from 1 species
AAUGGGUUUAAACUUGCUGAAUGUAGAG